UUCGAUGGAUUCUUUUUUUAUUAGGUUUUUUCUUGCUAUUUGUCCGAUUAAGUUUUUUUUAACUAACUUAUUUAUCUUGGGAUGUAGGUAAAACAAAAUGCUAUUGGGAAGCUAUCUGAACUGAAGCCAACUGGAUUCAUGUGUUUGUACAACAACUACCAACUGUGAUGAUGAUUUGGGUAUUAAGUGGUUUCUUCCUGGUUGCUAUACACAGGUACGUUGGAAUCUUCACAGCCCACGCGUAUUUCCUAAACCCUAGCUAUCAAAAUCAUCUUCCUUCUUGACUAUUCUACGAUCCAGACGCAAUCAGAUGCAGUCUUUUCAAGUGCAGUUUGUAUGUCUCGCAACGUCAGUUAUCCUGUUCGACUUGGAUUUAGACGAACUUCAAUAGUCAUUAUCCCCUCGGUAUUAAGGUUGGUGCAGUUCGUUCAUUCGAGAAUAUCCAAUUCUGCAUCUCAACAAGUACUUCCAUUCUUUCUAAGCAUGUAGGAUUUAGUUUCCACUUCUUUGGUGAUUUGAUCAAGUUAAAGGUGAGAUUUUUACCUAAAAAUGGGUGGUCUUUGGUUACAGUUUAUCUCUAACGAAUCAAACGGGUACAUUUAGAAAACUUAGCUAUAGAUGGAUCAUGUCAAAUGGGUGGCAUUAGGUUAUAUCUUAUCCCCAAUGGAUCAAAUGGGUGUAAUUUGAAAACUUGGCUAUAUAAUAUACGAGUAAUCAAAGUUUUCUUAUGCUACAACUUACAUAUUGUGUAAUAUGACAAAUCAGCGGUAUAUUUGUUCACUCAGACUGGGUGGUGUUGGGGUAAGAAUGUCAUUUAGGAUUUAUAAUUCACUUUGAACUAAUUUCCACCAACCAAAUGUACAACUGAAACAAAGUCCUGCUCAGGUUAUUAAACUAAUUUCCACCAACCAAAUGAUCUUUCUACUACUUAUUUUCUUAAGUUAGUAGCUGUGGUGCUGUACUUGCAUAAUAAAACUGCCCUAAAUGCUUCUCCAUGACCUAACGCUGUCAACAUCGGCACUUCAUGAUCUACCUUAUAAGAGAAAGAAGACUAGAAGUGGGUGUAGGGCAUUUAAAACCUCUAUGGUCACCAAAGUGGGCUUUCUUUUUUUCUUUUCUUUUUUUUUUUUUUUUUUUUUUUUUUUUGCAGAUUUGCUAGCUCUCAUUGAGGUUCUUACCAUCUAUUGUCCAAAUAAUCUUGUGGGGAUCACACAAAUUACUCAAGUUUUUCAAGAUACUAACAUUGGUUAAUCAAGAUAAUGACAAAACUGCACUUCAGGCCGUCUCUCAUGGGAGUUCAGUACACGAUUUAGUGUAUAUGCUCUUUAAUGGAUUGUAGAAGUUAAUGGGAAACUAACUUUUAUUGUAACAAAGGUACAUAUUAUAAAAGCUUUUAUUAAUGAGGUCACAAUGGAUAUGGUUUAGCAUGUUGUGGUCUAGAGUUGACAAAAAUUUCUAAUAUUUUCAUUUUUAUAUUCAUAAAAAGAUUUAAGGGUG